GUGGGGAAUCUUCCGCAAUGGACGAAAGUCUGACGGAGCAACGCCGCGUGAGUGAUGAAGGUCUUCGGAUUGUAAAGCUCUGUUAAUCGGGACGAAAGAGCCUAGUGUGAAUAAUGCUAGGAAGUGACGGUACCGGAAUAGAAAGCCACGGCUAACUACGUGCCAGCAGCCGCGGUAAUACGUAGGUGGCAAGCGUUGUCCGGAAUUAUUGGGCGUAAAGCGCGCGCAGGCGGAUCUGCCAGUCUGUCUUAAAAGUUCGGGGCUUAACCCCGUGAUGGGAUGGAAACUACAGAUCUAGAGUAUCGGAGAGGAAAGUGGAAUUCCAAGUGUAGCGGUGAAAUGCGUAGAGAUUUGGAAGAACACCAGUGGCGAAGGCGACUUUCUGGACGAUGUCUGACGCUGAGGCGCGAAAGCUAGGGGAGCGAACGGGAUUAGAAACCCUUGUAGUCC
rnacentral:rRNA from 1 species